GGUGCUGAGAGAUCCGCCGGAGUUCUCAGCCUCGGGGCGCAGUUGUGCCUCCGAGUCUCCAGUUCCCGGGUUGUCCGCUUGCUCCUGCUGCUCCCUGCCCCAUGUCUCUCAGAGAUGGCCACAACAGCCCAAGCUGCGCAUAUCUGAAGCCAGGAGCUUCUUCUGUGUUUCCCACAUGGAUGCAGGGUCCCAAGGACUUGGGUCAUCUUCCACUGCUUUCCCAGGCCAUAUCAGAGAGCUGGAUUAGAAGUGGAGCAGCCGGUACUCGAACCUGCACCCAUAUGGGAUGCUGGUACUGCAAGCAACGGCUUUACCUGUUAUGCCAUAGUGCCGGCCCCUGAUUUUUGUAUAUGAUAAGAGGAAUGCAGUAUAUGCUGGCUGGAGCAUCUGUGACAUGAAGCCUUCACUCGAAGUGAAUGACUGGUUUCCAAAGUGGGUCAUUCCUAUUGCUAGCAAUUUGGUGCUAACUGCUGAAGGGAGUUCUCAGGUUCAUCAUGACAAGUAGGGCCACUUGAGCAUCCUAAUGGCAUAGCAGCUGGCUUUUUUCAGAAUAAGAACUCAGAAGAUUAAUAUAGCAGUUUCAAUGACUUUUAUGGCUUUGGCUUGAGAGUCCCAAAUCAGUUUCAUCUCCUUUGUAUUCUCCUGGUGACAGAAACUAACCCUGAUCAACACGCAGGAGAUUAUAUGCCUUGGUCAUUUGGUGCUUAUAUAAGAAAAUACCAUAAACUAGAUGGCUUGUAAGCAAUGGAAAUUUAUUUCUCAUAGUUCUGGAUGUUGGUGAAUCGAAGAUCAAGAUACGAACAGAUUCCAUGCCUGGUGGGGACCCACUUUGUGAUUCAUAAUUGCCACUUUCUUGUUGUGUUCUCACAUGACAGAAGGGAAAAGUAGUUCUAUGGGAAGUCUUUCAUAAGGAUACUAAUUCCUUUUAUGAGGGCUCUGCCCUCAUUGCCUGGUCACUUUGCACUGAGUCUGCCUUCAAAUAGUAUCCUAUUGGAGAUUAGGUUUCAACAUAUAUAUUUCAUAUGAGCCGAAAUAUCUAGAAAAUAGAACUAUGCAAAUCAUGUUUGAGAAGUAAAUUUGAAGGCUGGAUACCACAAUCACACAUGCAAAUCCUGUUUCUCUCUCAGUACCUACAAAUACGGGCUUGCUGUUGAGAGAUGUGUUCAUAUGGAUUUGUUAGUUAGCUUCUUAAACUCAUGAUUAAAUUCUGCACAUGUGAGAACCUUAAUAUGCCUUAGUGUUAUCACACGCUGUAAUUGUUCCAUGAAAAGUCCUGAAAAAUUCUUGUAUUUGAUGAAUUUCUGACUGUUGAAAGCUUCCUACAUACUGUACCAUUAUGCAUGGGAAUUUUUUUUUAUGGUAAAAGCUUUCUUUUUUUUUUAACUUUCAUUUAAUGAAUAUAGAUUUCCAAAGUACAGCUUAUGGAUUACAACGGCUUUCGCCCCCAUAACUUCCCUCCCACCCGCAACCCUCCCCUUUCCCACUUUCUCUCCCCUUCCAUUCAUACCAAGAUUCAUUUUCAAUUCUCUUUAUAUACAGAAGAUCAGUUUAGUAUACAUUAAGUAAAGGUUUCAACAGUUUGCACCCACAUAGAAACACAAAGUGAAAAAUACUGUUUGAGUACUCGUUAUAGCAUUAAAUCACAAUGUACAGCACAUUAAGGACAGAGAUCCUACAAGAGGAGUAAGUGCACAGUGACUCCUGUUGUUGACUUUACAAAUUGACACUCCUGUUUAUGGCAUCAGUAAUCUCCCUCUGCUCCAGUCAUAAGUUUCCAAGGCUAUGGAGGCCUUUUGAGUUCACCGACUUUGAUCAUAUUUAGACAAGGCCAUGGUCAAAGUGGAAGUUCUCUCCUCCCUUCAGAGAAAGGUACCUCCUUCUUUGAAGACCUGUUCUUUCCACUGGGAUCUCACUCACAGAGAUCUUUCAUUUAGGUCAUUUUUUUCUUUUUUGCCAGAGUGUCUUGGCUUUCCAUGCCUGAAAUACUCUCAUGGGCUGUUUAGCCGGAUCCGCAUGCCUUAAGGGCUGAUUCUGAGGCCAGAGUGCUGUUUGGGACAUCCGCCAUUCUAUGAGUCUGCUGUGUAUCUCGCUUCCCAUGUUGGAUCGUUCUCUCCCUUUUUUAUUCUAUCAGUUAGUAUUAGCCGACACUAGUCUUGUUUAUGUGAUCUCUUUGACUCUUAGUCCUAUUAUUAUGAUCAAUUGUGAACAUAAAUUGAUCACUUGGACUAGUGAGAUGGCAUUGGUACAUGCCACCUUGAUGGGAUUGAAUUGGAAUCCCCUGGUAUGUUUCUAACUGUACUGUUUGGGGCAAGUCAGCUUGAGCAUGCCCCAAAUUGUACAUCUCUUCCCUCUCUUAUUCCCACUCUUUUAUUUAACAGGGAUCACUAUGGUAAAAGCUUUCUUUAAUUUGAAGACACUUCAAAGAUCUUGUCUUCUUGAUUUUAUUAUAAACUGUGAACUUCAACUUCUAAAAUAUACUUUAUCAGCUGGAAGUAUAUCUUAUUAGUUUGUCUUCAGAAUCUAAUAGAAAUAGACAUUGUGUUCCCAUCAUUUUACAAUGUGAAAAAUAAGUUUAGGGGAAGAAGAGCUACAAUUAUGUGUGGGAAGGUAAAAGCAAGGAUAAUAGUUCCUAGCGGUUGUUAACUAAAGUCUGUGUGUGGGUGUUCAAGACGCUGUCAGCUGAAAGACAAAAGAAUAUUAACAUGUCUCCUAAACAUUUUCAUCCAAUUAAUAUGUUGAGGUCUUUUGUUGAAAUGAUUGGUUAUUAUCUAUAUCUGAUAUUCCAUGUAAAUAUAUUACAUAUAACAUCGUAAACAGGAUGUCAUCAAACCAAAGGCAAUUGGACACUGUUAAUAGAAAAACAUAGCUGCCUGGUGUCAUUUGUUUGCAGUAUGAGUUUUUGCCAUAGGUAUUAGUAGUCACCUGCAACACUUUUACAGACACAGGUAUAUAUAUAAAAACGUUUGUAGAAAUGAUCAAUUUUGGCACUUAGUCGGGUGUUUGGCUGCUUAAUGCGUGUAAUGACUGUCUUCUGACUAUUGACAGGAUUUGUAUGUGUGCAAGUUUGUGCAAAUACAUAUUACCAUACAUACUUCAAUACAUUUGUAGGUUUGAAGAUCUUUGUAACUUUGGGUGUGUCUUUGUUUUCUGUGUCUUCUAAUGUGCUGUCUUUGUUAUCAUAAUUUAUCCAUUUCAUUCUAUACUCACUAAUUUCUACUUCUUCACAACUUUGGUUUUUUCUUUUUUUUUACUUCAUCUUCGCAGUAGAAAGCUCACCAUUUCAAUGAUGUAAAUCUGUCAUAGAUUAAAUGAGUAUUUGAGAUUUGAGAGUCCAUUUCUUAUCCUUCCAUUUCUUCAAGGCUGUUUUUCUGUAUUUUAUAGAAAUCUCUUCAGUAUUGUGGUUGACUAUAUCCAAGACUCAUUUUUCUUAUUUGGGGAAGGAAAAGAGCAAAAAAGAGAUAAUUGUUAUUUCCUAGAGAGAACCAUAGGUCAGGGGCUGGCACCAUGGCUCACUUGGCUAAUCCUCCACCUGUGGCGCCGGCAUCCCAUAUGGGCACUGGGUUCUAGUCCCAGUUGCUCCUCUUCCAGUCCAGCUCUCUGCUGUGGCCUGGGAAAGCAGUGGAGGAUGGCCUGAGUGCUUGGCCCCCGCACCCACAUGGGAGACCAGGAAGAAGCACCUGGCUCCUAGCUUCGGAUCAGCGCAGCGCCAGCUGCAGCAGCCAUUUGGGGAGUGAACCAACAGAAGUAAGAACUUUCUCUCUGUCUCUCUCACUGUCUAUGAUUCUACCUGUCAAAUAAAUUUUUAAAAAAAGGAACCAUAGGUCAAAGAGAUAUAUGGAUGACAUUUUUUUUGCAUAAUGAUUUAAAAUGAAACAAAUCCAAAUAUUUAUUUAUACACUUAAAAUUUACUGAUUUUCUUUCCUGUGUAAGGUACUGUUACUUGACAAUAUUUAAUAAUGAGAAGAAUGUUGGGCUCUUCAUAUUUUAUGGAACAUGUACUAAAAUAAGAAAAUUAGAGUAAGUUACUAACUUGCCCACUUGGAAGAUACCUUUAGAGCUACUUAUAGUUGCAGUAGAAAGAGAAUGAAUAUCUUCAUAGAAACCCUAGCCUUCCAAAUACUGACUUCUCUGCACUAUAUCUUUAUUUUGGACCAACAUGAUCAUAUUGUGUUCCUUGACUUUCAAUGACUCAGUUAUUCCUAGGAUAAAGACAGGAGUCUUUAAAUGGCUUACUGAUCUUACAAGGUCCAGCUCCAACUUUAGCUAUGUUCCCCUUGUGCUGUUUGCCAUAGACUGGUGUCACUGCCACCUCUGAAUUGCAGUUUUAACUACAUUAAUAGAUUUUUGUGUUUAGUUUGUGUGGGGUUAUCACUGACUUUAAA